rnacentral:rRNA from 1 species
GCUAAACGCGAAGAACCUUACCAAGGCUUGACAUGCAUCUCUAAGCGCGUGAAAGCGCGUGACCCUUCGGGGAAUUUGCACAGGUGCUGCAUGGCCGUCGUCAGCUCGUGUCGUGAGAUGUUGGGUUAAGUCCCGCAACGAGCGCAACCCCUCGUGAUUAGUUGUCCACGCGGAGUAAUAGCCGGGGACCGUCUAGUCAGACUGCCCACGAUCAACUAGGGAGGGAAGGUGGGGACGGACGUCAGGUCGAGUAUGGCCCGUUACCGUCCUUCGGGUCGUGCACACGUACUACAAUGCCCACGUACAAUGAGAACCGACGACCGCGAGGUGGAGGAAAUACUGCAAAACUAGGGCCCGACGUUCGGUAGUUGAAGGCGUGCAACUACGAGUGCAUGAAAUUAGGAAUCGCUAGUAAUCGUAGAUCAGCACG